AUACGUAGGUGGCAAGCGUUAUCCGGAAUUAUUGGGCGUAAAGAGGGAGCAGGCGGCAGCAAGGGUCUGUGGUGAAAGCCUGAAGCUUAACUUCAGUAAGCCAUAGAAACCAGGCAGCUAGAGUGCAGGAGAGGAUCGUGGAAUUCCAUGUGUAGCGGUGAAAUGCGUAGAUAUAUGGAGGAACACCAGUGGCGAAGGCGACGAUGGGGCCUGCGACUGACGCUCAGUCCCGAAAGCGGGGGGAGCAAAUAGGAUUAGAUACCCGAGUAUUCCACGCCGUAAACGAUGAGUACUAAGUGUUGGAUGUCAAAGUUCAGUGCUGCAGUUAACGCAAUAAGUACUCCGCCUGAGUAGUACGUUCGCAAGAAUGAAACUCAAAUGAAUUGACGGGG
rnacentral:rRNA from 1 species